rnacentral:lncRNA from 1 species
GAAGAACCGAACUGAGCUAUUAUGGCACAAAUUUGGAAGCAGCUGGGAUGAUGCAAGUAAUGUUGCACAAUCAAGCUGGGUCUCUUGCUGUCCAGCUGUAAGGGGGUCACAGCAUUAGGGAGACUGGACAAAGACAUCUCCCUCCCUAGGGAAUGCUACACCAAGGUCCAUCAUUUGUACCAAGGUGAGCUGUUGCUACUUUAUUUUUUCCUUCAGUGCUCAUGACAACA